rnacentral:rRNA from 1 species
UACGGAGGGGGUUAGCGUUGUUCGGAAUUACUGGGCGUAAAGCGCGCGUAGGCGGACUAGUCAGUCAGGGGUGAAAUCCCGGGGCUCAACCCCGGAACUGCCUUUGAUACUGCUAGUCUUGAGUUCGAGAGAGGUGAGUGGAAUUCCGAGUGUAGAGGUGAAAUUCGUAGAUAUUCGGAAGAACACCAGUGGCGAAGGCGGCUCACUGGCUGACUGCGCUGAGG